AAAAAGGCUAUGAAGAGGAAUAGUACGUAUUAUACCUGUCUCAGAGAGAAGAUGGCGGUGCAAAUCUUUACAAGGGUAAUACCGAAGCAGUCUUGGAGCUGUGGACCGAACAGAUUUUAAGUAGGCUCCAACGGAGUUUCCGCCGUUAAAAGGAAAUCGGUAUCGGGUAUUUUACCCCGUACUGACUGGAGUGCAAAUUUUAUUUGAAUUUAGGUGGUAACACGGACUCAAGAGUUCGCCCUAAGC
rnacentral:ncRNA from 1 species